UCAGGUGGUUAUAGCACGAGGGUUCCACCUCUUCCCAUUCCGAACAGAGAAGUUAAGCCUCGUCACACCGAUGGUACUGCGUAACAGUGGGAGAGUAGGUAGCCGCCGUUU
rnacentral:rRNA from 1 species